GGGGCUGUGGCCUAGUGGUUAGAGCGUCGGACUCGUGACCGGAAGGUCGGGAGUUCGAUUCCCGGUCCCA
rfam:Macrostomum lignano uti_cns_0011381, whole genome shotgun sequence.